rnacentral:rRNA from 1 species
UGGGGAAUUUUGGACAAUGGGCGAAAGCCUGAUCCAGCAAUGCCGCGUGUGUGAAGAAGGCCUUCGGGUUGUAAAGCACUUUUGUCCGGAAAGAAAUCCUUGGCUCUAAUACAGUCGGGGGAUGACGGUACCGGAAGAAUAAGCACCGGCUAACUACGUGCCAGCAGCCGCGGUAAUACGUAGGGUGCAAGCGUUAAUCGGAAUUACUGGGCGUAAAGCGUGCGCAGGCGGUUUGCUAAGACCGAUGUGAAAUCCCCGGGCUCAACCUGGGAACUGCAUUGGUGACUGGCAGGCUAGAGUAUGGCAGAGGGGGGUAGAAUUCCACGUGUAGCAGUGAAAUGCGUAGAGAUGUGGAGGAAUACCGAUGGCGAAGGCAGCCCCCUGGGCCAAAUACUGACGCUCAUGCACGAAAAGCGUGGGGGAGCAAAACAGGAUUAGAUACCCUGGUAGUCCACGCCCUAAAACGAUGUCAACUAGUUGUUGGGGAUUCAUUUCCUUAGUAACGUAGCUAAACGCGUGAAAGUUGACCGCCUGGGGGAGUAACGGUCGCAAGAUUAAAAACUCAAAUGAAUUGACGGGG